rnacentral:rRNA from 1 species
AGGAUAAACGCUGGCGGCGUGCCUAACACAUGCAAGUCGAACGUCCUACGCAAGUAGGGAGUGGCGGACGGGUGAGUAACACGUGGGCAAUCUACCUUUCGGUGAGGAAUACCGGCGAGAAAUCGCCGACAAUACCGCAUACGCUUCGCAAGAAGCAAAGUCGCAAGACGCCGGAGGAGGAGCCUGCGCCCGAUUAGCUGGUUGGUGGAGUAAUGGUCUACCAAGGCGACGAUCGGUAGCUGGUCUGAGAGGAUGAUCAGCCACACUGGGAUUGAGAACGGCCCAGACUCCUACGGGGGGCAGCAGUGAGGAAUUUUCGGCAAUGGGGGCAACCCGUGACCGAGCAACGCCGCGUGCAGGAGGAAGGUCUUCGGAUCGUAAACUGCUUUUCUGUGGGAAGAGAACGGACGGUACCACAGGAAGAACGCCCCGGCUAACUACGUGCCAGCAGCCGC